CUUUAGUUUGACGCCCCGAAACCAGGUGAGCUACCCCGAGACAGCCUAAAUAACUUAGGGCUAACCCGUCUCUGUGGCAAAAGAGUGGGAAGAGCUCCGGGUAGAAGUGACAGACCUACCGAACCUGGUGAUAGCUGGUUGCCUGAGAAGUGGAUAGAAGUUCAGCCCCAUGCACCCCGAACCAAGGACAUUCUACCUUAAGGUUUUAGGGAUAAACACGGGAGUUAGUUAAAGGGGGUACAGCCCCUAUAACAAAGGACACAACCUUCACAGGAGAAUAAAGAUCACAAUGUACAAGACACCCUGUUCUAGUGGGCCUAAAAGCAGCCACCUAAACAGAAAGCGUUAAAGCUCAGACAGAAGAAAGUUUAUUAUACUGAUAAAAAAAUCUUACUUCCCUAACAAUAUCAGGCUAGUCCAUGCCAACAUGGAAGAAAUUAUGCUAAAAUGAGUAACAAGAAGACCCGCUCUUCUCCAAGCACAAGUGUAAACCAGAUCGGACAAACCACCGGAAAUUAACGAACCCAAACAAAGAGGGCAGUGUGAACAACAAAGAAAUCAGGAAAAUCCCGCAACUAGGCCAUCGUUAACCCCACACUGGAGUGCUAUUUAUAAAGGAAAGACUAAAAGAAAGGGAAGGAACUCGGCAAACACAAGCCUCGCCUGUUUACCAAAAACAUCGCCUCCUGCAACUAUAUUAGGUAUAGGAGGUCCAGCCUGCCCAGUGACUACGGGUUCAACGGCCGCGGUAUUUUGACCGUGCAAAGGUAGCGCAAUCACUUGUCUUUUAAAUAGAGACCUGUAUGAAUGGCUAAACGAGGGCUUAACUGUCUCCCCCUUCUGGUCAGUGAAAUUGAUCUACCCGUGCAGAAGCGGGUGUAACACCACAAGACGAGAAGACCCUUUGGAGCUUAAGGUACAAGAUUCAACCACGUCAAGCGACUUAAUAAGAAGCAGGAACUUAGUGGGAAGUGAACCUUUACCUUCGGUUGGGGCGACCGCGGAGGAAAAACCAGCCUCCGAGUGGAAUGGGCCAAGUCCCUAAAACUAAGAGAGACAUCUCUAAGCCGCAGAACAUCUGACCAUAAAUGAUCCGGCCCAAGCAGCCGAUCAACGAACCAAGUUACCCUAGGGAUAACAGCGCAAUCCUCUCCCAGAGUCCAUAUCGACGAGGGGGUUUACGACCUCGAUGUUGGAUCAGGACAUCCUAAUGGUGCAGCCG
rnacentral:rRNA from 1 species